UAUGAAUAGCUUGUCACACCCGAUUAAUUUCCUUGUCUAACAAUAAGAUCGGAUCUAAAGUAAUAUUCUAGUUCGAAGUAACCACGAACCAAUGGUUUCGAACAACUGUUGGAUUUUCGACGAAAAACAUCGCAGAGCGUGCAGAAACGCAAACAAGAUCAAUAAUUUGUAAUAAUCAUCGGAACAUGUGGUCCUCGUUUUCUUGGAAACGUUAGCGGCACCAACUGGACUGAGAUGACUCAGAAACCAUAAAUGAGAACUAUGUACAUCACGAUAUUUUUUCGAUUUGCAACAGGCCAUUGUUUACGACAUCGUCAGUCUCUUCUUCGUUGUCCUAGUUUGCUUAGGACCGCGAGAUACCAGGAGUCGUGAUAAACGCGUGUACAUAAUAAUCGAGAAAGGAAGAACGACGUCGUCGUUCCUCCUGCUUCGAUGAAUCACGUUGUCUGAGUUUAAAUGAGAGCCUUCGGUAGAAGUAAUCGAAUUCAUGGACACGUAUUUCUACUUACGACAUAACAGUCUUGGGGCCGAAUAACUCGAGGAUAAGGGAAAUACUUGACAUCGAUAGAGGACGAUAACGAAUUCAACAAACACUCAAAAGAUAAGAUGUUCGCACGUAAUAAAAUACAAUUUAAUCCAUGGCUCGACACCGAUCUAUUGUAAACUGGCACGUGAUACGAUUCACGUCAAAAGAAUACAAUAAAAAGAAAAUAAUAAUGUCUACUGACACUACCCGAACGUAACAAUUUCGUACGCGAAAUCUGUCUCUAAUAUUACCAGCGAUAUAUCACUGGACCAUUUGCGAACGUGCAUUAUCCUAAUAAUCACUCGUAUGUUUCGUGAUUAACUCGAUCGUGUCACUUGGUUAAAAAUUCUCUGGCAAACCGCGGUAAUCGCGAUCGACGAUGUUCGCCGAAAAUACAGCGUGCCGUGAGAACUAUCAAUUAAAGUUCCGUACACACACAGAGAACACUCUCACCAAUCUAACGACCGCGCCAUUUCGCUAUUCAUUCGAAUCGAAUUUUCGUUGAGCCAAACGGAACAAUGGAUUCAUGUUACCUCGACCUUUCAUAAAUUGUUGGGCCACGUACUGGUACGUUGUUUACAUUGAAAAUUGAUUAUUUGGAAGUUGUCGUUUAACGCGAUCGAACAUCAAUUACAUGCAUCAAUUUAUUUAUUUUCCCGAUAUGCAGUGUUAACAACGGCGAGGCAGUGUCUACAGUGUAACAAUAACAAAGUACAAAACAAGUAAUUAAGAGCAGGCAUUCCUGCACGUAUUCACUAGAUCAAAAAAAAAAAAAAAAAAACGAAUCAAUGUUACAUACCUUGUUUUUAGGUGACAUCGUGCGGUACGGAUGCCUGUCCUGUUUGAAUGAAGAUGAACACACCCUCUCGGCGAGUGAGAAAGCGAAUGAAAAAGAAAGAAAGAAAAAGGGAGAGAAAGAGAGAUGGCGGGUCUCGCGCCACCUGAGUGGACAGCGUCCAGCUGCGGUACGAGGAACAAGCGAUGUGAAAAUGCGCGCUGCUCAACCACCGGCUGACUUAUCGCAUCGUAGUCGUCGAGUCCAUCCGAUUCCCCACUCUAUGAAAUAUCCAUCUCCCUUGCCAACUGUUCUCUGUACGUUCUAUCGUCUCGAUUUGCUGGAUGCCUCCCUCUUUGUUUCUACGAUUUCUCCCUCUAUGUUCCUAUCCGUCAGUCGGCUAGCUGUCUCUUCGUUCCACGCAAAACCGACUGUCUUCCUUCCGCUACCAGGUUCACGCAGUCAUCCACGAUGUCUCACGCGCGCGGACACAAAACGCGCUAUUGCCGGCCUAUCGAUAGGUACAAAGGUUCUGUGUGCACGCCCUGAUGUUCCAAAUAUGCACAAGAUAUUACGGUUAGAUGAAGAUCUUCUAUAGAGCGGCCGCGAUAUAUGGGCUUUCAAAAGCGGACAUCCAUGCGAUUCGACUGCACGCGUAACGCAGUGACGGAAUGAUGAAAGAAAACGAUAGCAACGAAGAGGGAAAACCUAUGUAAAAGAAUAACAAGGAAAUUUUAAAUCUCGCUUUUGUAGGGGAAUCGUAUUCGUAGGAAUAUACGAAGGUUAUUUCCUAAAUUAAACAGUUCCGUGCGUUUCGUCGUGAAAGGAGUUCCAACGCAGAUGCGCGAACACGUUUCUGUUUUAUGACGAAAAUAGAGUAGCAAAUCACAGCGUUCGGCUCACCCAUUUCACGUGUUUCGAACGUCCGAGCUUCUACGGUGAUUCUUCUAUUGUCUCGCCGUACAAAUACAAACUGAGUCACACAAAAAUAAAGCCUACAAAAAUCAAAGAAAACUUGAAGCGAAAGGAAAACGAACGAUUAUGCGUGUAAAUUGGCAGAACAUGCUGAGAAGAGGAACGUAAAACGACAAGAGGAUGAAAGAGAGACUCACGAUGUUAUUGGCCGUUGGUUUCGCCUUGAUUUGCAGGCCAUCAUCGUCACCGAUCUGCUCCCCAAUCUGUUCGCGGCUGCUAGCGGGGCCCAUCUCGGCGCCGCGGCGCCUACCCUAGGUACGGUUGUCACUAUCUUCGAACGAAAUUGAAACAACCACGGCUCCGCGAUCCCGCGUCCCCGGUGUACGAGGAACCGAUGCGAGAUUAGAGCUAUCACCAGCCGGAUGACACCUCCUUCGGGCGGUCCGGUGCGCCCCCUUUUCAAUUAUAAGCUCUCCAUUAGCGUUUUAUGAACAAUCCUGGAAGCUGUAGCUGCUCGGUGACAGCCUCUUCCGGACGAUUCUCGCCGCGUCCUUCUCUCUUCCCUUUUUCCCGGUUCCUCUUCCUCUCAGUCCAUCGGUGCUGCAGUGUACGGUUAAUGCUCUGAAGAUAAAAGAAACGGACGUUGCUCUCGUUAGAAGAAACGAUCGUCGAAGGAUAAUUCGGUGCGAUUAGACGACGACGGUCGUACGUCACCGGGUCAGCCCCUCGUCCCCGGUGUUCCUCGUUACGAUGAAUUCGGCGAAGACGUCGACGCGACCGCCACCACUGGCACCAAUUUCAGAUCGUUCGAAACCGCCGACGACGACGACGACGACGAGGAGGAUGUAGCUUAUACCUCGCGCACGACCUAGUCCACGGUAUUUCGAUCCACUUUUCAGGAACCUGCUACGUACCGCCUCCCCCGGUCCGUUCCGUUUGAUCGUCCGCGUUCCAGCGUGAAACUGCGUGGAAAAAUGAACAACCACCGUUCGUCGCUGCUGUUGGUGCAAAUGAAUUUACAGCGGAACUAGAUGACAGAGAAUGGGAAAAUCCUGUUGGAAAGAAUUUCCUCGCAGACGAUCCCGCCGCGGGUGGGUAGCGCCGCGGCGCCCCGGGAUCAAUAAAACGACCGCCCGGCCGUCGCCUUUCCUAGGUCCUGCCUGCCUGCCUGCCGUGAUCUCUCCCGUUCACGCGACGCUAGAUGUCGCGACGCAUAUCCCCCUCCCCCGUCGCUCUUCGGCACAGCGGAUGCCGAACGCGCCGGAUCUACCCGCGACACGCAAGCGCGAUCUCCUUCAGCGCACGCCCCCACGUGGUCUCUCCCCACGAGUUUGCGCAGCACGAUUAUCGAUGCGAUAGUCGGUAUUGCAUGCGUCUUGUACAUCUGCACUCUUUCCUCCCUCUGUCUUCCUUUCUUCCGUUUCAUCUGUCCCUUUAUGACGCGGGGUAACGAGACAUACUGAUUUCCCCGAAUUACUAUUUCUGUUAAUGCUACGAUUUUUUUCUUUUUUCUUUUCUUUUUUUUUCCCCUCCCACUUGCCGCGGGAAUCGAUGACUGAACUUGGGGUUUUUUCACUGUAAUGACUCGUGGUUAAUCUUCUUCGUGACAUUUAGUCCGGAUGUAUAUUAGGGCUCUCAAUUUUUUAUAAAAUUGAAGCUAGAAAUCGCACUUAUCCUUUCACGUUCCUCUCGAGAGUUCAAGGGGAAUUUGAUUUGACAAGGAUUUGUUUUCUUCGUGAAGUUGAACAAUUUGUUAUAAAGUAAUGUAAAUAAUACAGCUAUACUUACAUACUUACCUAGGCUUCGAUAACGAUUCGAUAAUUACAAUUUAAGAUAUUCAUGUAAUUAAACAGAGGUUUUGCAAAUGAAAAACGCUGGGUUUUCUCUCGGUAAUAGAGAUACUGCAGUGUUGUCGCAACCUUCGACAUUGAAGGUCGCAAAUGUUCAAUGAAAUUUAGAGUAACAUGUUCCUCAACCGCAUCUAGCGCAUCCUUGUGCCAUUUGCACUUAUGUAUUAACUAUUUGCAUUAAAUAAAAUGCUUCCGAUGAAUCUCUAA